UUCAGCAUGGUGUAGUGGUUUCAGCAUUGGACUAUGGCUCUGGAGACCAGGGUUCAAUUCCCUGCUCAGCCA